UACAGAGGUCCCAAGCGUUGUUCGGAUUUACUGGGCGUAAAGGGUGCGUAGGUGGUGAGGUAAGUCUGAUGUGAAAUCUCCGAGCUUAACUCGGAAAUGGCAUUGGAAACUACCUUGCUAGAGGGUUGGAGGGAGGACUGGAAUACUUGGUGUAGCAGUGAAAUGCGUAGAGAUCGGGAGGAACGCCUGUGGCGAAGGCGGCCCCCUGGGCCGGCCCUGACACUGAGACGCGAAGGCGUGGGGAGCGAACGGG
rnacentral:rRNA from 1 species